UACGGAGGGUGCAAGCGUUAAUCGGAAUUACUGGGCGUAAAGCGCACGCAGGUGGCUGAGUCAGUCGAUUGUGAAAGCCCUGGGCUUAACCUGGGAAUUGCAGUCGAUACUACCCAGCUAGAGUAUGGGAGAGGGCAGUGGAAUUCCCGGUGUAGCGGUGAAAUGCGUAGAUAUCGGGAGGAACAUCAGUGGCGAAGGCGGCUGCCUGGCCCAAUACUGACACUCAGGUGCGACAGCGUGGGGAGCAAACAGG
rnacentral:rRNA from 1 species